GCCUACGGGGGGCAGCAGUGGGGAAUAUUGCGCAAUGGGCGAAAGCCUGACGCAGCGACGCCGCGUGAGGGAUGAAGGUCUUCGGAUCGUAAACCUCUGUCAGCAGGGAAGAACGGUCACUGUGCUAAUCAGCAGUGAAUUGACGGUACCUGCAAAGGAAGCACCGGCUAACUCCGCGCCAGCAGCCGCGGUAAUACGGAGGGUGCGAGCGUUAAUCGGAAUUACUGGGCGUAAAGCGCUCGUAGGCGGUACGUCAAGUCAAGGGUGAAAUCCCCGCGCUCAACGUGGGAACUGCCUUUGAAACU
rnacentral:rRNA from 1 species